rnacentral:rRNA from 1 species
GAUGAACGCUGGCGGCGUGCCUAAUACAUGCAAGUCGAGCGAACGGACGAGAAGCUUGCUUCUCUGAUGUUAGCGGCGGACGGGUGAGUAACACGUGGAUAACCUACCUAUAAGACUGGGAUAACUUCGGGAAACCGGAGCUAAUACCGGAUAAUAUUUUGAACCGCAUGGUCCAAAAGUAAAAGACGGUCUUGCUGUCACUUAUAGAUGGAUCCGCGCUGCAUUAGCUAGUUGGUAAGGUAACGGCUUACCAAGGCAACGAUGCAUAGCCGACCUGAGAGGGUGAUCGGCCACACUGGAACUGAGACACGGUCCAGACUCCUACGGGAGGCAGCAGUAGGGAAUCUUCCGCAAUGGGCGAAAGCCUGACGGAGCAACGCCGCGUGAGUGAUGAAGGUCUUCGGAUCGUAAAACUCUGUUAUUAGGGAAGAACAUAUGUGUAAGUAACUGUGCACAUCUUGACGGUACCUAAUCAGAAAGCCACGGCUAACUACGUG